CAUCUCUCGAACAUCAGACGUUAGAUCAAACACCUCUCUCUCUCUCUUCAUUCUAUUCAGGACUAUUUCUCUGAGUUUCUGCCGAGAAGGAUGUCAGCCCAUAGUUAUUUAGCAUUCAAUUGAAAGUGGUUUUGAUAAAGGGCUGCUGGAAAGAGUAUUCUGGGUAGUCAAAGGCUUUUUGCGUAGAUGAGUAGAACGUUAAAAUAACUGGAAUAGAAAAGAAUAUUAAGUGACCAAUGAAAUCGACAGCUCCUUGUAGGGUAAAUCUAACAAACCUCGUACUACCUCGUGUCCAUACCUGUGGACGUUGUAUUUUGGCUUUGCUAUUCGCAAUGUAUUAUUUAAAUUAAUUUAAACCGACUAAUUUCAGUUCAGGACACUCUAUGCUGUUAGUAAAGGGUUAAACUUUCGAUGCACAUAGUCAUGUGACAAAACAACAUGGUGCCGAUCACAGCGGAGUUUGUCUUUGGGAGAAACGGCAACAAAACUACAUCUGAGGGAGAAAUUCCACUGUUCAAGAGCUGGUGCCUAGUGGGGGAGGACGGUGGAGAUUUGAGCCACUCCAGAUGUUAUCAACCCUUGGGGCUGAUGCUAGCGAGCCUGCAUUAGGAUCUCAAGGGCUAAGCAAUUCACUGGAACGUGAAUCCGUUCAAGCCACCUGUCCCCGCUGUUAAACCGGUGUGACUACCUUGCUGCAACAAUGUCAGCAACAGCUAAAUGGAUAGGAGGUAUGAAGAAGAAUAAAAAGAGGAGAAAGCAGAAAAAGGGAUGGGAUAGAGGGCUGCUUUAAACAGAUUCCAGAAGCUGAUGUACCAUGAUGACAUCAUGAUUCACCACGCUGAGGCAAAAAAGGCCUUUUUUUCAGCCUAAAGGGUUAAUUCAUGCUUUUAUCAAACGGUGAGGCAGUUAAAGUAAACAUGAAAUCAAAAUUUCUUAAUACAUGUUCAUAGUCUUGCAAGAUUCAUUACUUUUUUCCAAAAACUGUCUUCGUUUUCUUUCAAAGUGUAAUAAAUUGCCCCGCAUCUAAAACGACUUUCAUUUAUGUCUGAUGUAACAAACGUUGUUUAACCUUUUCAUGAAUAGGGUAUAAAUUCCCCUGCAGUGCAGAGUUAUUUUUGCACAUGACCCUGCACAGCCGGUAGAGGUGGGCAGAGUGUA